GCCCGGGUAGCUCAAUUGGUAGAGCGUCAGGCUUUUAACCUGAAUGUCGGGGGUUCGAGCCCCCCCUCGGGCG